UGUGAAUGGAAUUCUAUGUGGACAAACAUA
rnacentral:piRNA from 1 species